rnacentral:rRNA from 1 species
AUUGAACGCUGGCGGCAUGCCUUACACAUGCAAGUCGAACGGUAACAGGUCUCCGGAUGCUGACGAGUGGCGAACGGGUGAGUAAUACAUCGGAACGUGCCUAGUAGUGGGGGAUAACUACUCGAAAGAGUGGCUAAUACCGCAUGAGAUCUACGGAUGAAAGCAGGGGAUCGCAAGACCUUGUGCUACUAGAGCGGCCGAUGGCAGAUUAGGUAGUUGGUGGGAUAAAAGCUUACCAAGCCGACGAUCUGUAGCUGGUCUGAGAGGACGAUCAGCCACACUGGGACUGAGACACGGCCCAGACGCCUACGGGAGGCAGCAGUGGGGAAUUUUGGACAAUGGGCGAAAGCCUGAUCCAGCAAUGCCGCGUGCAGGAUGAAGGCCUUCGGGUUGUAAGCUGCUUUUGUACGGAACGAAAAGCCCCGGGUUAAUACCCUGGGGUCAUGACGGUACCGUAAGAAUAAGCACCGGCUAACUACGUGCCAGCCGCCGCAGUAA